rnacentral:misc_RNA from 1 species
UUUCCGCAGGUGAACCUGCGGAAGGAUCAUUAUUGUAUAACCGAGGUGCGAGGGCUGUCGCUGACCCGAAAGGUCGUGCACGCCCGAGUGCCCUCACUCACAUCCAUCUCACCCCUAUGUGCACCACCGCGUGGGUCCCCCUUUGGCUUGUUCGGAGGGGGGCUUACGUUUUCACACAAACUUUGUAUGCAGUGUAGAAUGUAUUUUUUGUUUUUGCGAUCACGCAAUCAAUACAACUUUCAACAACGGAUCUCUUGGCUCUC